rnacentral:rRNA from 1 species
UACCCGCUGAACUUAAGCAUAUCAAUAAGCGGAGGAAAAGAAACCAACAGGGAUUGCCUCAGUAACGGCGAGUGAAGCGGCAACAGCUCAAAUUUGAAAUCUGGCUCUUUCAGGGUCCGAGUUGUAAUUUGUAGAGGAUGCUUCGGGCGUGGCGCGGGUCUAAGUUCCUUGGAACAGGACGUCAUAGAGGGUGAGAAUCCCGUAUGCGACCCAAUGCCUCCGUCCAUGUGAAGCUCCUUCGACGAGUCGAGUUGUUUGGGAAUGCAGCUCAAAAUGGGUGGUAAAUUUCAUCUAAAGCUAAAUACUGGCCAGAGACCGAUAGCGCACAAGUAGAGUGAUCGAAAGAUGAAAAGCACUUUGGAAAGAGAGUUAAAAAGUACGUGAAAUUGUUGAAAGGGAAGCGCUUGCAACCAGACUUGCUCGCGGUUGCUCAGCCGGUGUUCUCAUCGGUGCACUCUUCCGCGAUCAGGCCAGCAUCGGUUUGGGCGGCUGGAUAAAGGCCACGGGAAUGUAGCUCCUCUCGGGGAGUGUUAUAGCCCGAGGUGCAAUGCAGCCCGCCCGGACCGAGGACCGCGCUUCGGCUAGGAUGCUGGCGUAAUGGUUGUAAGCGACCCGUCUUGAAACACGGACCAAGGAGUCUAACAUCUAUGCGAGUGUUUGGCUGUCNNACCCAUGCNCGUAAUGAAAGUGAACGGAGGUGGGAACCAUUNNNGGUGCNCCAUCNACCGAUCCUGAUGUCUUCNNAUGGAUUUNANUAANAGCAC